rnacentral:rRNA from 1 species
GAACGCUGGCGGCGUGCUUAACACAUGCAAGUCGAACGGAAAGGCCCUGCUUGCAGGGUGCUCGAGUGGCGAACGGGUGAGUAACACGUGGGUGAUCUGCCCCUUACUUUGGGAUAAGCCUGGGAAACUGGGUCUAAUACUGGAUAGGACCAUGCUGUAGGUGGUGUGGUGGAAAGAUUAGUUUCGGUAAGGGAUGAGCUCGCGGCCUAUCAGCUUGUUGGUGGGGUAAUGGCCUACCAAGGCGUCGACGGGUAGCCGGCCUGAGAGGGUGGACGGCCACAUUGGGACUGAGAUACGGCCCAGACUCCUACGGGAGGCAGCAGUGGGGAAUAUUGCACAAUGGGCGCAAGCCUGAUGCAGCGACGCCGCGUGGGGGAUGACGGCCUUCGGGUUGUAAACUCCUUUCAGCCAUGACGAAGCCCUUGUGGUGACGGUAGUGGUAGAAGAAGCACCGGCUAACUACGUGCCAGCAGCCGCGGUAAUACGUAGGGUGCGAGCGUUGUCCGGAAUUACUGGGCGUAAAGAGCUCGUAGGUGGUCUGUCGCGUCAUUUGUGAAAGCCCGGGGCUUAACUCCGGGUUGGCAGGUGAUACGGGCAUGACUGGAGUACUGUAGGGGAGACUGGAAUUCCUGGUGUAGCGGUGAAAUGCGCAGAUAUCAGGAGGAACACCGGUGGCGAAGGCGGGUCUCUGGGCAGUAACUGACGCUGAGGAGCGAAAGCAUGGGUAGCGAACAGGAUUAGAUACCCUGGUAGUCCAUGCCGUAAACGGUGGGCGCUAGGUGUGGGUUUCCUUCCACGGGAUCCGUGCCGUAGCUAACGCAUUAAGCGCCCCGCCUGGGGAGUACGGCCGCAAGGCUA